GAAGUCAGUUCUUAUUUAAUAUACACAUGCAAGUCUCCGCACCCCUGUGAAAACACCCUAAAAUCCCCCGUAGGGAGUAGGAGUUGGUAUCAGGCACAAUUACUUUGCCCAAAACACCUAGCCUCGCCACACCCACAAGGGCCCUCAGCAGUGAUUAACAUUGAGCAUAAGCGACAGCUUGACUCAGUUAAAUUAUCCAGAGCCGGCCAAUCUGGUGCCAGCCGCCGCGGUUACACCAGAAGCUCAAACUGACCUCCGUCGGCGUAAAGCGUGAUUAAAGGCCCCCCCCCCAACUUCUUGGAAUCUAACUAAAAUUAAGCUGUGACACGCCUGUUACCUAAGAAGACCAAAAACGAAAGUUAUUCCAA
rnacentral:rRNA from 1 species